rnacentral:rRNA from 1 species
AUUGAACGCUGGCGGCAGGCCUAACACAUGCAAGUCGAGCGGAUGAAGGGAGCUUGCUCCUGGAUUCAGCGGCGGACGGGUGAGUAAUGCCUAGGAAUCUGCCUGGUAGUGGGGGAUAACGUCCGGAAACGGGCGCUAGUACCGCAUACGUCCUGAGGGAGAAAGUGGGGGAUCUUCGGACCUCACGCUAUCAGAUGAGCCUAGGUCGGAUUAGCUAGUUGGUGGGGUAAAGGCCUACCAAGGCGACGAUCCGUAACUGGUCUGAGAGGAUGAUCAGUCACACUGGAACUGAGACACGGUCCAGACUCCUACGGGAGGCAGCAGUAGGGAAUAUUGGACAAUGGGCGAAAGCCUGAUCCAGCCAUGCCGCGUGUGUGAAGAAGGUCUUCGGAUUGUAAAGCACUUUAAGUUGGGAGGAAGGGCAGUAAGUUAAUACCUUGCUGUUUUGACGUUACCAACAGAAUAAGCACCGGCUAACUUCGUG